rnacentral:lncRNA from 1 species
CAUUAUAUGCUAAUUAUAAUACAUUAGCAUGCUAAAAGCCACGCCCAACAGCACCAUGACAGUUUACCAAUGUCAUGACAAUGUCAGGAAGUCACUCUAUAUGGUCUAAAAAGGGGAGGAACCCUCAGUUCCUAGAAGCACACAUCCCUUUCCCAGAAAGCUCAUGAAUAAUCCAGCCCACGUUUAACAUAUAAUUGAGAAAUAACUAGAAGUAUCCUUAAUGGAGCAGUGCAAGCCACUGCUCUGCCUAUGGAGUAGCCAUUCUUUUAUUCCCUCACUUUCUUAAUACAUUUGUGUUUACUUUAUGGACUUGCCUUGAUUUCUUUCUUGUGUGAGAUCCAAGAACCCUCCCUUGGGGUCUGGAUUCAGACUCCUUUCUGGUAACAUCUUUCUGGCAAACCACUAAGGGAUUAUACUGAAAUGACCCCCGACCCAAAGGAAAAUCUUCUGUGUGCAGCACCACUUGGCCAACUUUGGGUAAGUGAGGCGCAUUUAACUCGGUAAAGAAUGGAAUUGGGUUAGAGACCCAACUUAGAAAAGUUAGAGUCUGCCCUAAGAUAGAGAGGGUUAAAGACCCCCUCUUAAUAAAAGGCAAGGGUGCUUGACUGAACCUGUUUGGGGCCCAACUUAGGAAGGUUAGAGCCCUUCCUAAGAUUUAUGGGGUUGGAGGCCCCUCUCAGUAAAGUUCCUCUCGGCUAAAAGUGGGUUUGGCACUACUGGAUGUUAACUGCUAUUUUCUUUGGACUUAUCUGCCUUGCACUCUUUGCUGAUGGCUACGGGAGACAGAAUUAAACAUAUUCAGGAUCAAAGGACAUGGCGAGCUAUUUUUCCCCAAAAGGGAGACACUCGAGAGCUGAUGGGACUUCUGGGUAAGAUCCGUUUGUGACUGAAAAGCAGCUGCUUGAACUUUUGAUUAAGUCUAACUGCAGUGGGUGGGUCUUUCUCUGGCCUCCCUGAGUUCCUCACCUUCCCCACUCUGCUUCAGGCAAUGCUUUUCUCUCUUUCUCUUCUUUCCCUGUCCUAUCUUUUCUGUCAUUCAGGGGAACCUUCUUGCCCAGAGAUCGCAUGUUGAAAAAUGUCCUUGGGAGCUUUGUCUUGGUCUCUGCCAUAUCUUGUAUACAUGUGGUGGUACUUUCUCUUGGUCUCUGCCAUCCAGGGAAGAGGAAUUUGGGGGUACAUGUCAUAGUUAUCUCUGAAAAUUAAAUUGAGCAGUUAAAAGCCAAUGCAAUCUCAAAAUUGACUGCUCUAGUCUCCUGGGAAGAGCAAUAAAAUAUUUCCAAUUCUGCAGCUUAGCAGCUAAGGCUUUGUGUUUUUCCAGUGGUGGCACAGGUUCAGGGUUCAAUUCCUGGCUUAGGGAAUAAGCCCUUUCUGGUUUGAUAUCUGCAUGACAUUUACCAUUUGUUGAUUAUCUUCCCCUCCACAAACCAUGUUGAAUUUUUCUUUCUUUGAGGACAGAAAUAUUGGCCAUUUGGCCUGGCUAAAUUUGGGUAAUAAGAAAUUUAAAAGGAUCUUUUUAAAAAGAGUAUUACAUUUAAAAGUCAGCCUAAUUAAAAGAGGAUAUUCAAGCUCUAAAAGCCUGGGACUCCUUGUGAACAACAAGUAGUGCCACAGACCUUGUUUUGGGAAAAAACUCUUUUUUUUUUUUUUUCUCAUGAAACCCCAGGAACCAGAAGUGGAGAGAUCCCUUCACAAUCUAAGGCUCUUUUCUCUUUUGCAUUGCAUUAUCAGGUGUUUUUAACCCUUGGGGGGAUCAGAAAUUGCUCCACAUUAUAAUAGAACUUUGGUGUGUAAUAACUGGGUAGGAAAUAUGCUUUGGGGAAUAGCUAAUGACAGUUAAAGGUGAAUACUUGGCUUUUCACAUGUUUGGAUCAGAGGAGCAUGCUCUUGGCCACCUAGAAGGUAUGGCAAUGUGCUCAUCCCUGCCCCACACUGAGACCUAAGACUCCCAUGGAAGAUGGGGUAAUCACAGAGUAGGUUGAGUGGCUUUGAAUUGCUUUGCAGUGAAAUGCACAGUAAAAUCAUUGCACUGUCUUGUUCUGUAGCAUUUGUCUUUUUUGGGAUUUAAGAUAUGAUAUAAAAUGGGACCCUUAAAUUUUGGGGGAUCUUUUUUGCUUUCCAGCUCUGCCUAUUUAUUAAGCCAUAGAAACUGCAUGUUUUCCUGGCCCUGUUCCUCCAAGGGCUCCACCCUGAAGCAGUAAUCUGAUUAAGAACCUGGCAAAUAAAAAAUCUUAAAACUACUGGAACAUUUCUGUCUAUGUAUUUAUAUGUGUUGUGUGUGUGUGAUAUGAAAGAGCUUUGAUUGUUUUCAAAAAUCAUAAGAGCUUAAAUCUAACAUUCUAUCAGAAAAUAAAAACGAAUGAAUGCCUUUUAGUCCAUGUGACUUUAGUAAAGUUUCAGAAAUAAAAACAGUUUUGAAGAUCAUUGGUAAAAUUCAAAUGUCUUCAAAAUUCAGACAUUUGGUCUGAAGUAGGUUAAAUAUUAAGUUUGCUAGAUGUGUUAGGGUCAUAAACGGCUUCUUUGAUUUUUGAAAAUUGUUCAACCUACUUACUUUGAAGCAGAUUCUAGGUAAAGCCUGGGGAUAUGUGGUGUUAGCCAUGCCUCCUAGUUAUGCUGGAUAGUCAAACCUUAUCUGCACUUCUUUCUGUGUCCUAGGCUCCAAAGGUAGUACAUAGUUAAAAUCACCUACAAUCCAGGUUUUUCCACCAAUGGUUCCUAAGAGUUCUUUCUUUAGGCUGUAUUUGUGAAUAUAUGUUUUUGGUAGGUGUUCCAAAAUUAUUAGAAACUUCUGUAACUCUGAUAUAACUUAGUGUAUGCUAUUAAUAGUUAUAAUAAUUGUUAUGUAAAAUUGUUGUAUGCCACAGAAGUCACCAAAAUUCUUAGUCAAUUGUGGCUUUAAUAGAGACUGCCCUAAAGUGUUUUGUCAUCCAGGGACAAUUGUUGCCUUGUUUUUUUUUUUUUUUUUUUUUUUUUUUCUUUAGAGGUGGUUUCAUAAUCAGCUACAGAACUCUAAUAGGUGUUCUUAAAUGCAGGUUUCUGAUAAAUUUGGAGAUUUUGAUGUUAGAAUAGAAGAAAAAACUUUCAGGAUCUCCUGGAGUGCUGAAAUGUUCACGAAUAUCAGGCAGAACAGGAGUUAACAACAUGGACUGGACUAAUAGAAGACUAAAGUAAUCUUUUUGACUUUUUGCUUAAAAGGAUCCUCUGUUUUGUUUUUCAGAGCCAAUAAAACUUUUCUUUUGAGUGAUUUGCAGCUUUUAACAAGUAAGUAAAAUAUACUCCUGUGAACAAAAUUUGGAGCAUAUUUGUUUCUCUCUACCUGAUUUCUCCAGAAUUUGGAAACUAUUUACUGAACCUGCUUAUUUCUGUGAACCAACCAGUGAUCUCUUAUGGCUGUUCAAAAGUAACAAGAGAGAUAUCACCUUUUGUCAUAACUCAAGUCUUAUGAAUGGCCCUCACCAUAAUGAUGCUUUUUGACUGAGCUCUUCUCUAACCUGAAUGCAAGAGGUUAGGCAUGAAUAUCAUCCCCCCUGUUCAGCCUGAAGAAGUUACAGAAGAUGAAUCUUCCACUCUCUACAGCCCUUAGGAUUAAGGGUUCUCUUACUGAAUGUAUUCUUAAACUGAACACUUAUUAAUCUUCCAGAUAUCACCUUUUGUCAUAACUCAAGACUUAUGAAUGGCCCUCACCAUAAUGAUGCUUUUUGACUGAGCUCUUCUCUAACCUGAAUGCAAGAGGUUAGGCAUGAAUAUCAUCCCCCCUGUUCAGCCUGAAGAAGUUACAGAAGAUGAAUCUUCCUCUCUCUACAGCCCUUAGGAUUAAGGGUUCUCUUACUGAAUGUAUUCUUAAACUGAACACUUAUUAAUCUUCCAGAUAUCACCUUUUGUCAUAACUCAAGACUUAUGAAUGGCCCUCACCAUAAUGAUGCUUUUUGACUGAGCUCUUCUCUAACCUGAAUGCAAGAGGUUAGGCAUGAAUAUCAUCCCCCCUGUUCAGCCUGAAGAAGUUACAGAAGAUGAAUCUUCCUCUCUCUACAGCCCUUAGGAUUAAGGGUUCUCUUAUAAAAGGGAGGGGGUAAAUAUGUCAGAGGCAUUUGAACCAGAGAAACUCCAUCUUGAAUAGUCCCUGUGUAAAAUAAGACUGAGACCUACUGGGAUGCAUUCCCAGGAGGUUAGGCAUUCUAAUUCACAGGAUGAGAUAAGAAGUCUCCACAAGAUACAGAUUAUAAAGAUUUGGCUGAUAAAACUGUUUGUGAUAAAGAAGCUGGCCAAAACACACCAAAACCAAGAUGCCAACAAAAGUGUCCUCUGGUUGUCCUCACUGCUCAUUAUAUGCUAAUUAUAAUGCAUUAGCAUGUUAAAAGACACUCCCACCAGUGCAAUGACAAUGUACAAAUGCCUUGGCAACAUCAAGAAGUUACCCUAUAUGGUUUAAAAAUGGUAGGAACCCUCAGUUCUGGGAAUUGCCCACCCCUUUUCUGGAAAACUCAUGAAUAAUCCACCCCUUAUUUAGCAUAUAAUCAAGAAAUAACUGGAAGUAUCCUUAGUGAAGCAGGCCAAGCCACUACUCUUCCUAUGGAGUAGACAUUCUUUCAUUAGUUAACUUUAUUAAUAAACUUGCUUUCACUUUA